rnacentral:rRNA from 1 species
AGUCUGACGGAGCAACGCCGCGUGAGUGAUGAAGGCUUUCGGGUCGUAAAACUCUGUUGUUAGGGAAGAACAAGUGCUAGUUGAAUAAGCUGGCACCUUGACGGUACCUAACCAGAAAGCCACGGCUAACUACGUGCCAGCAGCCGCGGUAAUACGUAGGUGGCAAGCGUUAUCCGGAAUUAUUGGGCGUAAAGCGCGCGCAGGUGGUUUCUUAAGUCUGAUGUGAAAGCCCACGGCUCAACCGUGGAGGGUCAUUGGAAACUGGGAGACUUGAGUGCAGAAGAGGAAAGUGGAAUUCCAUGUGUAGCGGUGAAAUGCGUAGAGAUAUGGAGGAACACCAGUGGCGAAGGCGACUUUCUGGUCUGUAACUGACACUGAGGCGCGAAAGCGUGGGGAGCAAACAGGAUUAGAUACCCUGGUAGUCCACGCCGUAAAUGAUGAGUGCUAAGUGUUAGAGGGUUUCCGCCCUUUAGUGCUGAAGUUAACGCAUUAAAG